rnacentral:lncRNA from 1 species
UCUGUCCUCCUUUGGCCUUCUGUAAAAUCUCAUUUUAGAAAAAAUGUUUACAAUUUUUGAAGUUGUUUAAAUUGAGCGAAGACAAAUGAUUUCUUCUGUUCUGAUAAGAUAGCCUGCUGCUGUAAUUUGACUUGCUGCUUCUCUUUUGUUUUACAGAUGAUGUCUUUCUACCUAAAGAUAUUGACCUAGACAGUGUGGAUAUGGAUGAGACAGAGAGGGAAGUGGAAUAUUUCAAAAGGUUCUGCUUGGAUUCUGCUAGACAGACCCGACAAAGACUGUCUAUCAACUGGUCCAACUUUAGCUUGAAAAAAGCCACCUUUGCUGCGCACUGAAUGAGGACUCCCUGGAGAGGGACACGCGAGAGGCAGGCUAGGCUGCACCACCCCAAGAGCCACGCCCCUCGCUGGCGCCCCAGAGCUGUGGUGCUUGCCAAGGGCUGUGCGGAGCUGGUGCUGCCUGAAACCCCAGACCGAGAAGUUGAUGCUCGGCCCACGCUGUUAGCUCGUGUGCGUGUAGUCUGUGCGUGAGACUCCUUCGAUUGUAGCUCUGUGCUGUCGGAUUGGAACAGUAGUUCCCGCCAAGUCCUCCCACCACCGCGGCCUCGGAGGCCUGGGCCGUGGCCAGAUAGGAGUUUGCAUCAUCCACGUGGCUCCGUUGCCUCUGCAUUGCGCCCUGUCCUGUCAUCUGUCCUCACCGGGGUAUCGGCCGUCACUCAGCUCUCCUGUGCCCCUGCGUCCCACCCUAGGCGGGCUGGGCGGGGCAGGCCUCCUUUGUUCUCCACAAUCUACUGUCUCCGAGUGUACACGUUGCGCUGUUUGUGUUUGAUCCCCCCUGACUUGUAGCCAGCUUGUGUAAGAUCCCUUGCAGAACGAGAAAGUUAAAAACAAGCCCACCCAGUACUCACACCAUCAAGUCUGUUAUAGAGUGUACGACUGUAUUAACACGGAGGCCUGCCUGGCUACUUUUUUAACAUAUUGUUAAGUAAUAUUAAAAUCAUGUCUUUCUUUUUGAAAGAUGGAAUACAUUAGUACAGCAGGAG